GGCUGCAUAUACAAAAACAAAUAGUGAAAUUCAAAAUGUUAAUCAAUAUGUUACAUGUUAUUCUUUAAACGCUUUCUGUUUUUAUGGUUGAAAUUAGAUAGGUUGAAACGAGUCGAUUGAACGUUAAUAUAGGUCGGUUAAAUGUGGUGGAAUAGUAGGUAACUCAUCUGAACUUUGAGGCAGUGCCGAUGGCACCCUGUCUCGUGUCUCUUCAAUGUAACGUCUUAUGUCACUUAUCGCGUUUUCAUCUGCCGUACCCACUACAUCGUCAAAUUGUUCUAUGUAAUCAAUAGGUGUACCUUUCUUCAGGCGAAAUAGGCGAUUGCCAUCAUAUAAAAUGG
rnacentral:lncRNA from 1 species